GGGCGCAAKYCUGAUGCAGCGNCGCCGCGUGAGGGAUGGAGGCCUUCGGGUUGUAAACCUCUUUUGUUAGGGAGCAAGGCACUUUGUGUUGAGUGUACCUUUCGAAUAAGCACCGGCUAACUACGUGCCAGCAGCCGCGGUAAUACGUAGGGUGCAARMRWWAWCCGGAAUUAUUGGGCGUAAAGGGCUCGUAGGCGGUUCGUCGCGUCCGGUGUGAAAGUCCAUCGCUUAACGGUGGAUCCGCGCCGGGUACGGGCGGGCUUGAGUGCGGUAGGGGAGACUGGAAUUCCCGGUGUAACGGUGGAAUGUGUAGAUAUCGGGAAGAACACC
rnacentral:rRNA from 1 species